GUUGUAUGGUUAAGUGACUAAGCGUACAGGGCGGAUGCCUUGGCAAUCAGAGGCGAUGAAGGACGUGCUAAUCUGCGAAAAGCUUGGAUGAGUCGAUAAGAGGCGUUUAAUCCAAGAUAUCCGAAUGGGGAAACCCAGUAGAUGAAGAAUCUACUAUCAAUAAAUGAAUACAUAGUUUAUUGAGGCGAACCGGGAGAACUGAAACAUCUAAGUACCCCGAGGAAAAGAAAUCAACCGAGAUUCUGUGAGUAGCGGCGAGCGAAAGCGGAAGAGCCAGUAAGUUUUAGCUAGCGUAUUAGAGGAAUUGGCUGGGAAGCCAAAUCAAAGAGGGUGAUAAUCCCGUACUCGAAAGUAUGGUAGUGGAACUAAGCUUACGAUAAGUAAGGCGGGACACGAGAAAUCCUGUUUGAAGAUGGGGGGACCAUCCUCCAAGGCUAAAUACUCCUGAUUGACCGAUAGUGAACCAGUACUGUGAAGGAAAGGCGAAAAGAACCCCGGUGAGGGGAGUGAAAUAGAACCUGAAACCCUGUACGUACAAGCAGUAGGAGCGAGGGCAACCUUGUGACUGCGUACCUUUUGUAUAAUGGGUCAGCGACUUAUAUUUUGUAGCGAGGUUAACUGAAUAAGGGAGCCGAAGGGAAACCGAGUCUUAACUGGGCGUUGAGUUGCAAGGUAUAGACCCGAAACCCGGUGAUCUAGCCAUGGGCAGGUUGAAGGUUGGGUAACACUAACUGGAGGACCGAACCGACUAAUGUUGAAAAAUUAGCGGAUGACUUGUGGCUGGGGGUGAAAGGCCAAUCAAACCGGGAGAUAGCUGGUUCUCCCCGAAAUCUAUUUAGGUAGAGCCUUGAGCGGACACCUUCGGGGGUAGAGCACUGUUUCGGCUAGGGGUCCAUCCCGGAUUACCAACCCGAUGCAAACUGCGAAUACCGAAGAGUGAUACUCAGGAGACACACGGCGGGUGCUAACGUUCGUCGUGGAGAGGGAAACAACCCAGACCGCCAGCUAAGGUCCCGAAGUCUAUAUUAAGUGGGAAACGAAGUGGGAAGGCUUAGACAGCUAGGAUGUUGGCUUAGAAGCAGCCAUCAUUUAAAGAAAGCGUAAUAGCUCACUAGUCGAGUCGGCCUGCGCGGAAGAUGUAACGGGGCUCAAAUAUAGCACCGAAGCUGCGGCAUCAGAAUUUAUUCUGUUGGGUAGGGGAGCGUUGUGUAAGCGGAUGAAGGUGGCUCGAGAGGGUUGCUGGACGUAUCACAAGUGCGAAUGCUGACAUAAGUAACGAUAAAACGAGUGAAAAACUCGUUCGCCGGAAGACCAAGGGUUCCUGUCCAACGUUAAUCGGGGCAGGGUGAGUCGGCCCCUAAGGCGAGGCUGAAAAGCGUAGUCGAUGGGAAACGGGUUAAUAUUCCCGUACUUGG
rnacentral:rRNA from 1 species